rnacentral:rRNA from 1 species
GAGUUUGAUCUUGGCUCAGGACGAACGCUGGCGGCGUGCUUAACACAUGCAAGUCGAACGAGAAUCUACUGAAAGAGUUUUCGGACAAUGGAAGUAGAGGAAAGUGGCGGACGGGUGAGUAACGCGUGAGGAACCUGCCUUGAAGAGGGGACAACAGUUGGAAACGACUGCUAAUACCGCAUGAUGCAUAAGGGUCGCAUGAUUCUUAUGCCAAAGAUUUAUCGCUUCAAGAUGGCCUCGCGUCUGAUUAGCUAGUUGGCGGGGUAACGGCCCACCAAGGCGACGAUCAGUAGCCGGACUGAGAGGUUGAACGGCCACAUUGGGACUGAGAUACGGCCCAGACUCCUACGGGAGGCAGCAGUGGGGAAUAUUGGGCAAUGGGCGCAAGCCUGACCCAGCAACGCCGCGUGAAGGAGAAGGCUUUCGGUAUGUAAACUUCUAUCAGCAGGGAAGAAAAUGACGGUACCUGACUAAGAAGCCCGGCUAACUACGUGCCAGCCGCCGCAGU